AUUGACGCUGGCGGCAGGCCUAACACAUGCAAGUCGAACGAGUGGCGGACGGGUGAGUAAUGUCUGGGAACCUGCCUGAUGGAGGGGGAUAACUACUGGAAACGGUAGCUAAUACCGCAUACCAUCAGAUGUGCCCAGAUGGGCUUGGCUAGUAGGUGGGGUAAUGGCUCACCUGGGCGACGAUCCCUAGCUGGUCUGGAAGUAUGACCCGCCACCCUGGAACUGAGCCACGGUCCAGACUCCUACGGGAGGCAGCAGUGGGGAAUAUUGCACAAUGGGCGCAAGCCUGAUGCAGCCAUCCCGCGUGUGUGAAGAAGUCAUUCGUGUUGUAAAGCACUUUCAGCGAGGAGGCGUUACUCGCAGAAGAAGCACCGGCUAACUCCGUGCCAGCAGCCGCGGUAAUUC
rnacentral:rRNA from 1 species